rnacentral:rRNA from 1 species
UACAGGGGGUGCAAGCGUUGCUCGGAAUUACUGGGCGUAAAGCGUGCGCAGGCGGUCCUGCAAGUCGGGGGUGAAAACCCGGGGCUCAACCCCGGAAUUGCCUCCGAAACUGCCGGACUUGAGUACGAGAGAGGGUUGCGGAAUUCUUGGUGUAGAGGUGAAAUUCGUAGAUAUCAGGAAGAACACCAGUGGCGAAAGCGGCAACCUGGCUCGAUACUGACGCUCAUGCACGAAAGCGUGGGGAGCAAAC